AGUGAACGCUGGCGGUAGGCCUAACACAUGCAAGUCGAACGGCAGCACAGUAAGAGCUUGCUCUUACGGGUGGCGAGUGGCGGACGGGUGAGGCAUACAUCGGAAUCUACUUUUUCGUGGGGGAUAACGUAGGGAAACUUACGCUAAUACCGCAUACGACCUACGGGUGAAAGCAGGGGAUCUUCGGACCUUGCGCGAUUGAAUGAGCCGAUGUCGGAUUAGCUAGUUGGCGGGGUAAAGGCCCACCAAGGCGACGAUACGUAGCUGGUCUGAGAGGAUGAUCCGCCACACUGGAACUGAGACACGGUCCAGACUCCUACGGGAGGCAGCAGUGGGGAAUAUUGGACAAUGGGCGAAAGCCUGAUCCAGCCAUACCGCGUGAGUGAAGAAGGCCUUCGGGUUGUAAAGCCCUUUUGUUGGGAAAGAAAAGCAGCAUGUUAAUACCCCGCUGUUCUGACGGUACCCAAAGAAUAAGCACCGGCUAACUUCGUG
rnacentral:rRNA from 1 species